rnacentral:rRNA from 1 species
CCUACGGGUGGCAGCAGUCGAGAAUCAUUCACAAUGGGGGAAACCCUGAUGGUGCGACGCCGCGUGGGGGAAUGAAGGUCUUCGGAUUGUAAACCCCUGUCAUGUGGGAGCAAAUUAAAAAGAUAGUACCACAAGAGGAAGAGACGGCUAACUCUGUGCCAGCAGCCGCGGUAAUACAGAGGUCUCAAGCGUUGUUCGGAAUCACUGGGCGUAAAGCGUGCGUAGGCUGUUUCGUAAGUCGUGUGUGAAAGGCGCGGGCUCAACCCGCGGACGGCACAUGAUACUGCGAGACUAGAGUAAUGGAGGGGGAACCGGAAUGCUCGGUGUAGCAGUGAAAUGCGUAGAUAUCGAGAGGAACACUCGUGGCGAAGGCGGGUUGCUGGACAUUAACUGACGCUGAGGCACGAAGGCCAGGGGAGCGAAAGGGAUUAGAUACCCCAGUAGUC